CCCACCGACGUGUGCCCCCAUCCCGCCACGGCUCAGCUCGCCUGCAGCGCUGCGACGCUGGAAUCAGGCGCAGUGACAACGAGCGCAGACAUCCCGGAGGACAUCGCGGACAUCCAUGAUCUCCUGGCAUGGCUCAACGACGAAGUGACAUCCAAGACAGGCAUCCUGUACGACACCGCAGACAUUGAUGACCUGCUCACG